AGCGAACGCUGGCGGCAGGCCUAACACAUGCAAGUCGAACGAACCUUUCGGGGUUAGUGGCGGACGGGGGAGUAACACGUGGGAACGUGCCGUUAGGCUCGGAAUAACUCAGGUAAACUUGUGCUAAUACCGAAUGAGCCCUUCGGGGGAAAGAUUAUUCGUCCUUAGAGCGGCCCGCGUCUGAUUAGCUAGUUGGGUUAGGUAAUGGCGCACCAAGGCGAUGAUCAGUAGCUGGUCUGUGAGGAUGAUCAGCCACAUUGGGACUAGGACACGGCCCAAACUCCUACGGGAGGCGGCAGUGGGGAAUCUUGCGCAAUGGGCGAAAGCCUGACGCAGCCCUGCCGCGUGAAUGAUGAAGGUCUUAGGAUUGUAAAAUUCUUUCACCGGGGACGAUAAUGACGGUACCCGGAGAAGAAGCCCCGGCUAACUUCGUG
rnacentral:rRNA from 1 species